ACACUCCUGCGGGAGGCAGCAGUGGGGAAUUUUGGACAAUGGGCGAAAGCCUGAUCCAGCAAUGCCGCGUGAGUGAAGAAGGCCUUCGGGUUGUAAAGCUCUUUUGUCAGGGAAGAAACGGUGAAAGCUAAUAUCUUUUGCUAAUGACGGUACCUGAAGAAUAAGCACCGGCUAACUACGUGCCAGCAGCCGCGGUAAUACGUAGGGUGCAAGCGUUAAUCGGAAUUACUGGGCGUAAAGCGUGCGCAGGCGGUUUUGUAAGUCUGAUGUGAAAUCCCCGGGCUCAACCUGGGAAUUGCAUUGGAGACUGCAAGGCUAGAAUCUGGCAGAGGGGGGUAGAAUUCCACGUGUAGCAGUGAAAUGCGUAGAUAUGUGGAGGAACACCGAUGGCGAAGGCAGCCCCCUGGGUCAAGAUUGACGCUCAUGCACGAAAGCGUGGGGAGCAAACAGGAUUAGAUACCCGGGUAGUCCC
rnacentral:rRNA from 1 species